rnacentral:tRNA from 1 species
GGCUUCAUGGCUCAGUUGAUUAGAGCUUCGCAGCGGCAUCGAGAGGUCACGGGUUCAAACCCCGUUGAAGUCC